AUGUCAGCUGCUGGGAAGAUCUGGAUUCUCGUUUCAGGUCACCAUCCAAAAAGCUAAGUUUGCUGUAUAGUAAGGAUCAGGAGAUCUGAUCCUGAUUGCAGAACCUUUCCUGAUUACAAAAUCUUGGGUUGUAUCUCCCACUUCACCCUUCUAGACCAUCCUAGAAGAUCUAUAAGAUUUCAUCUGGGAAAUCACUAGGAGUUCUUGAAAGGGAAAGAAGGAAGAUUGUUGGUUGGAAUAAAAACAGGGUUGAAUGAGUUCCAGAAAGCAGGGUUCUCAACCUUGUGGACAACAAUCUGCAGAAGAAAACUUUAAAAAACCAACUAGAGGCAACAUGCAGAGAAGUAAGAUAAGAGGGGCCUCCUCAGGAAAGAAGACAGCUGGUCUCCAACAGAAAAAUCUGGAACCAUCUCUCCCAGGAAGAUGGGGGGAGUCGCUCUGCAGAGAACUCCCCUUCAGGAUUCGUGAGGAAGACCAGAAAGAACAAACAGAAGACUCCCGGAAACGGAGACGGUGGCAGUACCAGUGAAGCACCUCAGCCCCCUCGGAAGAAAAGGGCCCAGGCUGACCCCACUGUUGAAAGCAAGGAGGCAUUUAAGAAUAGAAUGGAAGUUAAAGUGAAGAUUCCUGAAGAAUUAAAACCAUGGUUUGUUGAGGACUGGUACUUAGUUACCAGGCAGAAGCAGCUGUUCCAACUCCCUGCUAAGAAAAAUGUAGAUGCAAUUCUGGAGGAGUAUGCAAACUGCAAGAAAUCGCAGGAAAAUGCUGAUAAUAAGGAAUAUGUGGUUAAUGAAGUUGUGGCAGGAAUAAAAGACUAUUUCAAUGUGAUGUUGGGCACUCAGCUGCUCUACAAAUUUGAGAGGCCCCAGUAUGCUGAAAUCCUUUUGGCUCAUCCUGUUGUACCAAUGUCCCAGGUUUAUGGAGCACCACACUUACUGAGAUUAUUUGUAAGAAUUGGAGCAAUGUUGGCCUAUACACCCCUUGAUGAGAAAAGCCUUGCAUUAUUGUUGGGCUAUAUGCAUGAUUUCCUAAAAUAUCUGGCAAAAAAAAUUCUGCAUCUGUCUUUACUGCCAGUGAUUACAAAGUGACUUCUGCUGAGUACCACUGCAAAACCCUGUGA